GAUGAACGCUGGCGGCGUGCCUAAUACAUGCAAGUCGAGCGAACGGACGAGAAGCUUGCUUCUCUGAUGUUAGCGGCGGACGGGUGAGUAACACGUGGAUAACCUACCUAUAAGACUGGGAUAACUUCGGGAAACCGGAGCUAAUACCGGAUAAUAUUUUGAACCGCAUGGUUCAAAAGUGAAAGACGGUCUUGCUGUCCCUUAUAGAUGGAUCCGCGCUGCAUUAGCUAGUUGGUAAGGUAACGACUUACCAAGGCAACGAUGCGUAGCCGACCUGAGAGGGUGAUCGGCCACACUGGAACUGAGACACGGUCCAGACUCCUACGGGAGGCAGCAGUAGGGAAUCUUCCGCAAUGGGCGAAAGCCUGACGGAGCAACGCCGCGUGAGUGAUGAAGGUCUUCGGAUCGUAAAACUCUGUUAUUAGGGAAGAACAUAUGUGUAAGUAACUGUGCACAUCUUGACGGUACCUAAUCAGAAAGCCACGGCUAACUACGUG
rnacentral:rRNA from 1 species